GCUGAGUAAUAGAAGCAUCCAAUACAAUUGGAAUGAUACAAAGAAGAUUAGCAUGGCCACUAUGAAAGGAUGGCAUGCGAAAAUUGAGAAAUGUGUUGUGACCAU